UACGUAGGGGGCAAGCGUUGUCCGGAUUUAUUGGGCGUAAAAGGCUUGUAGGUGGCCACGCCAAGUCGGAUGUGAAAUCUCCCGGCUCAACUGGGAGGGGUCAUUCGAUACUGGCGGGCUCGAGGCCGGUAGGGGGAAGUGGAAUUCCCGGUGUAGUGGUGGAAUGCGUAGAUAUCGGGAGGAACACCAGUGGCGAAGGCGGCUUCCUGGACCGGUUCUGACGCUGAGGCGCGAAAGCGUGGGGAGCAAACAGG
rnacentral:rRNA from 1 species